AGGAUCAUUACAGUGAACGUAAGCGGGAGGCGUCGCUGGCCUUUGGCCGCGCGCCUUUCUCUUUGCAAUCCACUUACACCUGUGCACCCGUCGGCGAGCGCCUCCUUUGGCCCUCCGCCGCCCUUUCGCACCGGCCCCUUUGAAUUGUAAACGCAUGUCGAGCCCCACGGGGUGUUUGAGUUAAAAGUACAACUUUCAACAACGGAUCUCUUGGCUUUCGCAUCGAUGAAGAACGCCGCGAAAGCGCGAAACGUAAUGUGAAUUGCAGAAUUCAGUGAAUCAUCGAAUCUUUGAACGCAUCUUGCGCUCCUUGGUAUUCCGAGGAGCAUGCCUGUUUGAGUGUCGUGUAAAACCUCAAAGCCCCUCCGUUAAGGGAGGCUUUGGAUUUGGACGCCUGCGGCUUCGGGACCCUUUGAGGUCGCGGCCGCUCGUCUUGAAAUGCAUUAGCUUGGUCCCCUCGGACGACGACGGUGUGAUAAUGAAACGCUUUGUGGCGCCGUUUGAAUCGAGUUGGGGCUUGGCCGACAGCCGUCUUUGGACAAACGUUUGAACGUAUGACCUCAGAUCAGGUAGGACUACCCGCUGAACUUAAGCAUAUCAAUAAGCGGAGGAAAAGAAACUAACAAGGAUUCCCCUAGUAACGGCGAGUGAAGCGGGAUGAGCUCAAAUUUGUAAUCUGGCGGCCUCUGGUCGUCCGAGUUGUAGUCUGGAGAAGCGUUUUCUGCCUCGGACCGUGUACAAGUCCCUUGGAACAGGGCGUCGUAGAGGGUGAGAAUCCCGUCUUUGACACGGACUGCCGACGCUGUGUGAUGCGCUCUCGAAGAGUCGAGUUGUUUGGGAAUGCAGCUCAAAACGGGUGGUAAAUUCCAUCUAAAGCUAAAUAUUGGCGAAAGACCGAUAGCGAACAAGUACCGUGAGGGAAAGAUGAAAAGCACUUUGGAAAGAGAGUUAAACAGUACGUGAAAUUGUUGAAAGGGAAACGCUUGAAGUCAGUCGCGUCUCGUGGGAUUCAACCUUGCUAACGCUCGGUGUACUUCCUGCGGCGACGGGCCAGCGUCGAUUUCGAUCGUCGGAGAAAGGCUUUGGGAAUGUGGCACCUUUGGGUGUGUUAUAGCCCUCGGUCGUAUGCGACGGUUGGGAUCGAGGACCGCAGCACGCCUUUGAAAUGGCCGGGGUUCGCCCACGU
rnacentral:rRNA from 1 species